rnacentral:rRNA from 1 species
AUUGAACGCUGGCGGCAGGCCUAACACAUGCAAGUCGAGCGGAUGAAGGGAGCUUGCUCCUGGAUUCAGCGGCGGACGGGUGGGUAAUGCCUAGGAAUCUGCCUGUUAGUGGGGGAUAACGUCCGGAAACGGGCGCUAAUACCGCAUACGUCCUGAGGGAGAAAGUGGGGGAUCUUCGGACCUCACGCUAUCAGAUGAGCCUAGGUCGGAUUAGCUAGUUGGUGGGGUAAAGGCCUACCAAGGCGACGAUCCGUAACUGGUCUGAGAGGAUGAUCAGUCACACUGGAACUGAGACACGGUCCAGACUCCUACGGGAGGCAGCAGUGGGGAAUAUUGGACAAUGGGCGCAAGCCUGAUCCAGCCAUGCCGCGUGUGUGAAGAAGGUCUUCGGAUUGUAAAGCACUUUUAGUUGGGAGGAAGGGCAGUAAGUUAAUACCUUGCUGUUCUGACGUUACCAACAGAAUAAGCACCGGCUAACUUCGUG